rnacentral:lncRNA from 1 species
AGCAGUCUCGGCCCUGGGCAGCCGCCGCCCCGGGGGCCGCAGACCCUGUGCUAAGGCCUGGGACUCAAGGAAAGGCUGUUACUGCCCUCCAGGGCUUUACAGUCUAAUGAGGGAGACAGCAUGCUAGUGGCUCUGGAGAAACUGGAGAGAAUCCACAGAAAGAAGAUUUUUGAUGCCCUUCGAAUGUAUGUCUCUACAGUGAAUAUAGCCAAGCAACUUUUAUAUUCAUUUGGAUACUGGAAAUUUUGAGAAGAUGAGACUGAAGAUAUCACUUCUAAGAGAACCAAAACAUAUCCUUUGAACCUUAAUAAAACUUGUUUGGACUUUUUUGCUGACUUAUCU